rnacentral:lncRNA from 1 species
UGACCAGCUGGUGCUACUGAAUAGGGAUGCUGGGACUGGCGCAAAGAUUCCCCUUGGAGCUAUACUGCCCCUGCCCUGGCUCUGCUGCCAGGCACCUCCUGGGGGAGGGGUGCCCUUCAGGGGCACAUUCGGCCUCCUGUCAUCUGGCUGAUAGUAUCUCUUCUCCACCUUACUGUUGAAGGAGACCAUCUUUUGAACCUUCCCCAACCAGGGGCUGGACCCUGCUGUGUCUGGAAGCCCUUCCUUGGGGAGCAGCACAGCCAGCAACAGACUUGAGUGAGUGACCUCCAGACCUGGGGAAAGGAGAGGGGAGACAGGAAGAGCCCAAAGGCCUGCGGGGAAGAACUGUGUUCAGCUUAGCUGCAGCAGAUCUGGAGCCUACAUCCCAGGAAGGGCUUCUUCACAGUGAGAUGGGGCCCAUGAGAUGCUGGGAAAAGUAAGUAGGAAGGUGGGGCUGUCUCGGAAGAUUUGAGCUCUGCGGGAUCAAGGCUUAUCUGGCUGAGGCUGGGGUAUGGAUUGUUUGACCUGAAGACUCUACAGACUCAAAGUCUACCUCAUUGUCUCAGGACAUGGAGCCCCAAAAGGCCAAGCGCUUUGCUCAGGAGUGGGCAAAGCGCCCACUGCCAACCUCGCUGCUUUCCUGAGCCACGCCGUGGAGGGUGUCCAUGCACAGAGGCCGAGCUCGGCCCCCCGUGGCUGUGGCGAAACAUCCCUCCCUCCUCUCUGAGGUGACAUUUACAGUCAAGUGUGUGUAGGUCCUGACUCUGUCCUGCUGCCUGGGUCAAAUGUGGCUGUCCCUGGAGUUUCUCUUCAGGGGUGCCUACCUUGAGAGGCAGUGUGGUGUGGUGGUUAGGGGCCAGGUUUCUGAAGCCAUGUUGUGCUUCACACAACGUGUGAACAGAGUGAAGCCCAGUUCUGCUGUUGACUGACUGUGUGACUUUGGACAAGUCAUUUGCCUUCUUCCUCCCUCAGAUUCUUCUUCUAUGAGAUGGACAGUCUAGUCUAAUAGUACCAUUCUCAUAGGGUGAUGAGACUACAAGAAUUCAUCUAGGUAAAGCUUUUAGAACAAUGGCUGGCAUGCAGUUCAUGAUAUCCAAGCGUGAGCUAUUACUGUCAUUGUACUCACAUUUGCCUGGCUGGGUGAGGAGUUCCCUUCUGAGAUGUGCCUGCCUCUACUGGGUGACUGUGUCAACCGUGCCUGGUCUGGUCACCAAGUGAGCAGAGGCAGGGUCUGGUAUGGGGACUAGGCACUCACCUGGGCCCCCCAAAGGGCGCAGCCUGGUGGGCAGGGGCUGGAAGGCAGGCAGGGGCAGCAGGACCAUCCCCAUGUGCUCCACAGAGGCCAGCCCGUGGCGCUGCCUAUCAUUGAGGUAUGAGUAGAGCAGGCGGCAGUUCUGGGUGUCCCGGGCCCCAUGUGGGCACAGUCUGACCACGCAGACGUCCUGCGGUGGCAGGAGGAGAGCAGCUGUAAGCGCAGUCAUCCUCUGCUCCUGCCAACACCCCUGGGCUCCCUGAAACCCCUGAGAACCCCGUGAGAAAGUAUGUCUCCAUCUUCCAGAGGAGGAAACAGAGGGACCUGUCCAGGGUCACACAGUGAGUCUGCAGUCACUCUGGGAACUAGACCCAGAUAUCCAAGCCAGGCCUCUGCUCUAGAAGUGGAGAGGGAGGUGGGAGUAAGGUACUAGGAAAAGAGGGGGUGCCCAAGAGUGGGCAGAUGCUGGCCAGAAGGUCCCAGACAAUGUUGGAGGGGAUGCAGCCUGCCGAGCGGAUCACGGUGGGCAGAGCCUAGGGGCAGGAAGGAUGGCCAGUCAGCUCCCCAGCUUCCCACCCACUCAGGGUGGACGCAUUCCCAGCCACCUGGAAGGCUGCAGCCUGUGGCAAAUAUGGGCAGGCAGUGUUCCAGGACCCUCAGUGGCUGCCCAGAAAGCUCUAAUUGCCCCAUGGAGGUCUGCAGCCUGUACUGGCUAAUCUACAACUUCUCCAAAGCCCCUCCCUCCCUCCUCUAUCCUCUGCUCUCAUCCGACACUUUAGCUGAUCAUUAAGUCACUCAACGAUCACUCCUAAAACCCUCCUUUGGGCCCUUCUUGCUAUGGGUGACAGGGAGUCCUUCACCCUGUUUGUCUCUGUAGGAAUGGGACCAACAUCUCAUUUGCCCCCAUGCCCUGCACAGGGCCAGGCACAGAAAGGGGUGCCCAUGAAUUGUUUUAGAAUGCAUGAGUGAAAGAGAGAGAGAGAGAGAGGCUGCCUGGGCUGGUCAGUGUGUAAGGGAAUCCCUGGCGAGGAGGGCAGGUGCAC